GACGAACGCUGGCGGCGUGCUUAACACAUGCAAGUCGAACGGUAAGGCCCUUCGGGGUACACGAGUGGCGAACGGGUGAGUAACACGUGGGUGAUCUGCCCUGCACUUCGGGAUAAGCCUGGGAAACUGGGUCUAAUACCGGAUAGGACCAUGCGCUCCACGGUGUGUGGUGGAAAGCUUUUGCGGUGUGGGAUGGGCCCGCGGCCUAUCAGCUUGCUGGUGGGGUAAUGGCCUACCAAGGCGACGACGGGUAGCCGGCCUGAGAGGGUGACCGGCCACACUGGGACUGAGAUACGGCCCAGACUCCUACGGGAGGCAGCAGUAGGGAAUAUUGCGCAAUGGGCGAAAGCCUGACGCAGCAACGCCGCGUGAGUGAUGAAGGAUUUCGGUUCGUAAAGCUCUGAUGCAGGGGAAAAAGAAAGUGAUUGUACUCUGCGAGAAAGGGACGGCAAACUUCGUGCCAGCAGCCGCGGUAA
rnacentral:rRNA from 1 species